rnacentral:rRNA from 1 species
GAUGAACGCUGGCGGCGUGCUUAACACAUGCAAGUCGAACGGAAAGGCUCCUGCUUGCAGGGGUACUCGAGUGGCGAACGGGUGAGUAACACGUGGGUGAUCUGCCCUGCACUUCGGGAUAAGCCUUGGAAACUGGGUCUAAUACCGGAUAGGACCACAUUUUGGUUGGUGUGGUGGAAAGUUUUUCGGUGUGGGAUGAGCUCGCGGCCUAUCAGCUUGUUGGUGGGGUAAUGGCCUACCAAAGCGUCGACGGGUAGCCGGCCUGAGAGGGUGUACGGCCACAUUGGGACUGAGAUACGGCCCAGACUCCUACGGGAGGCAGCAGUGGGGAAUAUUGCACAAUGGGCGCAAGCCUGAUGCCGCGACGCCGCGUGGGGGAUGACGGCCUUCGGGUUGUAAACUCCUUUCGCAAGGGACGAAGCGCAAGUGACGGUACCUGGAGAAGAAGCACCGGCUAACUACGUG